rnacentral:lncRNA from 1 species
AGAAGAUGGUGAAGGAUGGGACGAGGUGGAAACGGGGUGAAGGGUGGUAUCAGGGAACAGGGUGGGGGAUGAAGACGUGAGAGUAAAAGGGUGUAAUCGCUGUUCGCCUGGCAUGCUCCCGUCGUUGUCGAGGUUGCAGCUGCACGAGCACACUUGCAGCCGGCAAGACGGGCAGGCUUACGGACGAUUUUCGCGAGACGAAGAACGUUGGUGAUGACGACGAAGUAGGUGACGACGGAGACGACGAGAUAAGAGGAGACGAAGACGACGAAGUAGGUGACGAUGGAGACGACGAGAUAAGAGAGGACGAAGACGGUGCGCGAAAGCAUCCAGUCGCUGUCCACCCGGUGCGCUUCCGUCGUGGAGGCUGCAGCUACACGAGCACGCAUACAACCUACAUGGCGGGCGGGCUUACUGGCGAUCUGGGUUAGGCGCGAAACGUUGAACGGUGACGGCGGCGGGGUGUCAGACUCGGCUGACCGUUGCACAGCAAAACGCACCGGCAAGCUGUGGCUAACCUGUUCUGCCGGUGGUGGCUUAAAGGCCACGUUGACGGGAUCGAGGCGAACGGCGGCGGCGGCGGGGUGGGUCGGCGCGGCGGUGCUGGUCAUCGCGGCAAGGCUGGGGGCUGUCUGAACUGGAGAGAAAGGUGCGUCCACGGUCGUUGUCCUGACGACGGCGGUCGGAAUUGUCGGUGCGAGUCGGAGAGGGGGAGGGGGAGCGGGAGGGAGAGCGGUUUGCGGUUCGAGAGGUGGUGGAACGAAAGGGCGAGCGGUCGGUGGGGACGUUGAUGGUGCAGGUGCCCUGCGGUAGCGAAUGCGGUGAGCGGUGAGCGGCAUCGUGCUCCAUUGAAAUGGUGCAUGCAAGGUCGAUCACAUCCUGCAGUCGUAUGUAGGAACCCGGGUUGCGUAAGUGCGAGAAGAUCUCCUUCCUGAGGUCGUCCUGCAGUCCCUGCGCGAAGAAGAGGACGUGGUCCUUCUCGUGGCGGUACGGCAGGUCAGCCAUAAGGCGUUGGAAUUCCGCAAUGUAGCAUUGUAAGGAGUUUGGUCCGGAACCCUGCGUCAAGGCAAACAUAGCAAGCUGCGCUUGAUAGAGUCCCGUGAUGGGGACGGGAGCCAUCGGAGGAUGACGAAGACGAAGAUGACGAAGACGACGAUGACGAAGAUGACCAGCGGAGCGAAGACGAAAGCGAUGACGACGAAGACGAUGAAGACGAAGGCGGAGCGAAGCGUAUAGGCCGGAUCGUCUAGAUCGAUACCAACUGAAAGGGCAUAGGCUCCGUUUCUCGUUGGGAUGCCACGAUGAUUACAAAGAGGGCCGAGCGACUUAAGCCAGCUAACAACCUACAAGAUGUAACAAUGAUGACAUAACAAACUAAACAACAACAACGACUUAAAUAGUUAUCCAGAGCCUAGGCGGCGCCGGAAGGUCGUACAUUAUCCGUAUCUCAAAUGAUCGUCCACGAGUAAAGUUAACGACUUAACAACUAACAAGAAAACCUAACAAACAGUUUAAUUAUCAAUAUUUUUCAUACUCACACGCUGAGCUAAACUGUGUUCUUGUGUGUCAUUCCCAGCUCCAAGAUCCAACCGUGGCUGCUGUACGCGGCCACACAUGGCCCUUUUGUGUACGGGUUCGUAAAAGCUGAAAAUUAAAAACACACUCAGCAACUUGCGACGUGUUGAAUUACCUAAUUCCUGCUCAAAACCGACCAGAUUCCAGCAAAGGCUUUUUCGUUGCUGUUGCGGCAGCGUCAGGAAUUGCGUCUUGAUGGGCGUAGUACUGUUCGUUACACAACUGCAUGUCAUCAGCUUUGGGCCGUUCGUUAAACCAAAGUACUUAGUAGCAGCCAGAGCAGCCACGGCCGCGUUGGCCACGUUCGAUCGCAUGAUGAGUUCGCUGAUGCUUAUUCCUGCGAAAAUGAUUCCAUAUGUGCCCGCAGGAGGCACUGAUCACCAGGUAGCGGCAGCUUAAAGUGCAGAGCUGCAAACAGAAUCUAGCUAUAACUGCAUUGCGUGAGAGCAAAUCGCACAGGCGCCACGAAUUUGGGCCCGCCACCACCUCCGCGCGGCGGGCGAUGACGUCGCCUCGACGUCUGACGACGACGCUGAUCGCUGACACCAGUUCGAUCGCGGCGGCCGGAGGAGCAUAUACGAGCGAGCACGGAAGAGCAUCGUCCCUGGGAAACUACGUCAGCGUAUCAUUAUAUUAAUAAUAUUUUCUUAAGCUCUGCCUGGUUCUGCCGGCCUGCUCUAUCUUUUGUAUCUUCUAUGGCCGGUGCAGGCGGCCAGUGGAAACGGGCAAAUGGCUGUCUGGGCGAGCCCUCCCUGCAGCUGGCUCCAAUGUGGCCCCUCUACGAACAGCGAACGGUCGCCUGGUGACUAAGGGAUGGUGGGCCACCCGUCCAUGGAAAUUGUUAACAGCCGGAGGGCCUUCACCAACCCUUGCCGAUGUCAUAGCCUACCUACCUACCUAUCUAUCUAUCUACCUACCUACCUAGCUACCUACCUAGCUACCUACCUAGCUACCUACCUACCUACUAUCUACCUACCUAUCUAUUUAUCUAGCUACCUAGCUACCUACCUGCCUGCCUGCCACUUAGGUAAUCCCCGUCCCCUGAACUUGCUCCCCCUUUGACACAUCCAAUACCAAUUGGAUUGCUUGGGCUUGCUCUGGUGAUGCUAGGUCCACAGGGUGGGAGGAUGAAGUGGUAGUGAUGGUGAUGGUGAUGGUGAAGACAGGAGUCCGUUCGGACUUGUCUGGCUGAGCACCUAGUAUCCUGACUCACUAAAUCAGCCCGAACUUUAAUUGAAUUGUAUUCUGUAUUGAAUUCCUCAAAACCUGCACCGAACAGCGAAUCUCCUGUGCUGUAAACGGAAGCCUUAUGGUACUUACCUCACGAAGGAAGUACCAUUGGAUGCAGCAAGGAAAAUGUUACUGCUGCAGAUUGCAAAGCGAUGCAGUUUCCUAAGCCGCUGGUUGCAUUGGAUCUGCUCUGCACACCGUUAACCAUUCCCAUCAUUUCAGAUUUCAAUGCACCAACUCAAAUUCAAAGUGAUCAAAUGCGGCCUUGCUCGGUCGUCGUCAGUCGUUGUCCAAACGAUGAUGUGGCCAUUAUAAGUAGUUCUCUGACAGUUAUUCAGGACGUGGUGGCUCUCUCAUUCUAGACCGGGGCCCAUACAUGCAAUGCAGGCCACUCCAACGCUCUUUGGGUGCCUCCUGAGCUGGCAUGGGGGCCACCAUGUCGGCCACAAGACGGUUUACCCCAAGACCUGGAUCUAUUUUCCUUCAGCAAUUCCUUCCAACAACUGCCUUAGAGAGGCCCUCCUUUGCAUGCAUGUCCCACCUGUGAAGCCACUGCCUCGUAACAUGGUCACAUGCCUGUCCAGACAUGCCUGUCCAGCCAGUGGGCCGGCUUGCACUCACGCACGCACUCGGCUUGCUGUUGGAUUUGGUUCCGCCGCGCGCGCUGACAUCAAAACGGGUCCCGCACCUCCGGCGCGCUUCCUGUUACUACACCGCUGUGCCUUCGGCUCGUCAGCGAGACCCAUUGGUUGGAGUGCAGUGGAAUGCCUAUGGCUGCCCACCCUUGGACUUCUUGCUCUCUGUAAUGCAGGAAGUGCGCUAGGAGGGAGUGUGCUUCAGUCGUGCCGUACUGGACGGGCCGACCUUGGUGGCAACAGUUGAUGGAGUUGGCGGUUGACCUUGUGUUCCUGCCUUCGAAUACGGAGCUGUUUGCGCUGGGUGAGGGUGCGUUGAGCACCUAUCUACCCCCCCUUCCUGGCAGGUCUGGCAGUGCGGGUGCAGUCGUAGUGUGGGCGCUUUCGCAUGGCACUCGGUCAGUCAGUGUGGCCCGCUGCAAUUGCGGUCAGUCAGAGUGCCCCGCUACGUGUGCUUUCCUAACAUUUCAAAACCCCCCGGGGACGUGUAAUACAUUGUAGGGGCAAUGGGCCACCAAUGAGGUAACGCCUUAGGUGUACAUCGUGGGGGGGAGCGGAUGUGCAGCUAUGUGGAGCGAAUAGGAAGGGAUUUGAUGUGCGAAGGUGUGCGCUCGGAAGGCACCAGUGCUUUUGUUUUCAUUUCCGUCAAUUUUCCAGUCCGAACGGAGGAAUAGGUUUUAGUCGCGGGAAUAAAAUUAUUCCUAAUCUGUAAGGCGCUGGGGGGCCCUCUGGGGGGCCCUUUGGGGAAUGUCGCAACACGCACACACCACAAUCUCUCUGGAGACCUGUCUCUUACCGGCUCCGGGCCAGGAAGCGGCGCGCACUUAGACGCGGUGGCCUGCCACGCUUUGGGAGCUUCAGAUCCGAAUAUUUUGCAGCGUUUGGUCCGGUCAGAAACAGUCCUAUUCCUCGUUGACUCGCGGGUGUGGCCUACCUAACAGUAUCCAUGGCAUUGAAGUGCUAUGAUAUGGUUAACAUGUAUGUCUCCGGUAAGAUUCUAGCGGCUUUGGCAUGGACAGCCCAUUUUUGGCUGGAGGAAUGAACUUGUACAGUCGGAACACAAUCUAAUCCUAACUUUCAGGACCACGGAAAAUUAUUUAUUCCGAAUCCCGCAAAAAAAUCACUGGAAGGCACCCGUGCAGGUAGUUGGUUUUUUCGUGUUACCAGCGAUUGGAAUUCCCGUGAUUUCGGAACGGUUUAGUUUGUCUGGCUCCAACACCGCUGGAUCUGGACUUAGUUCGUAUAGUACCUUCGGUGCUGGAUGGGUUCCCCGUUUCUCGCUGUAUCUGCAGUCCGAUGCGGCACCCUGGUAACUUGUUGGCAUAGCAGCUGCAGCUGGCUCGGUUGGUCCAUUCCGCGUGUCUCUGCAGGUUGCCCAGGUUGCCAGUCCCGGGUUGGUGCUAUUUGCAGUUUUUGUGUCGCUUUUUUGCUGUGAUUGUGUCUUUCCUGUGUCAUAGAAGGCCUGGAGUUACUUCCGGCAACCCUUUAUGUCGGGCUCCUGUGGGUUCAGUUCCUAGCUGCCAGGGGCUCUAUCCCAGCCCGUGCUGCUCAGCCUUUCAUCAGUGCAGUGAACCCCACGAGCUCCGUGUCUGACUUGCUCGGUUCACCAAGAGCCGUGUGCUGGAGACAGCCCCUGCUGGUGGGUUUUCCAAGUAGUUGGGUGCAUUUGCAGUGCUCCAUCGCUCUGUCAGCCUCUCUUUGGGUUGGCCUUUAAUGCGGGUGAUGAGUGGCUUCUUUGAAGCUGUUGCCAACGUUGUGUCAGUUGGCUCGGAGGUACCCUUGCCUUGUCGUGUUAGGUCUCUGUCUUUUCUUCGUCCGCUUUCUCUGUUGUCCGAGACCUGGGUACGUGGAGUGGUCGUUGUUGUGGAGCCGGUGUUUCGGCUCACGUCCUAGUUGGCCGUUUGGCCACCCCUGAGCGGGCACAUGUUUGGCACUUUUGCUCGUUUGUCGUCCCUUCCUUCAGUGGGCGUCCGGCAGCGUCUGUUGAGUGAUCCGUCGCGUCUGUGGCCUGCAGGUCAGUCUGUAUGCAGUUGGUGAACGCUGGUUUGGCCUAGUUCUUGUGGAGUGUGGUGGCACUUUCCGUUCGGUUUGUUUGCUAUUUGCCUGUGUAGGUGGCGUGUCCGCCAGCCUUGCUGCUGGAGUGCCGUUUGGAGGUCGUCGAGGCGUUUGGCUUCGGGAGCUCUAUUUAGUUUCGGUGUGCGCGCCUGUCAGGCAGCUCUCGCGUUCUUUGGCCCUCUCGUGUGUUGCACCAUUUGGUGUUCCAGUAUUUCAACUGCUAGGGCAUCUUCAACUUUGGCAUUUGUCUCUGAAGCAACUACUAAUGUGAGCUUGUGUUAAGUAAGCUGGGUUGGGUGUAAGGUCCAGUGUGUAACUGUUAGACUAACUGUUUCACUACUGCCCGUGCCCUCAGGGCUGUCGUUUGUUGCACGCAUAAAGCUGGUAAGCUUAUCUUGUUUUUGUUGUUCAGCACGGGGAACGAGUUGGUCAUGGGCGGGUUUUCCAGUCACGUGCGGGUCAUGAAUCCGGUCAUGUUUUGUCACUGCACCAUAGGCCCUGCCAUGGAACAGUUCAUAGCUGCACAAGCCAAGCGCAGGAUAUGUGUGUGUGUGUGUGUUUUACAUGGUCGCGGGUUGUGUUCCCUGUACCUGCAAACUGCCCAAUACGAGUUGAGGGCUCAAGGGCUCCCAGAUCGCCUAUAAGCACCAUCCUACCUCGCACUCAGACAAAGCAAAUGAUAAAUGAGACUAACGACCAAAGGGAACGAUAGAGUUGCAGUGGGACCAUAUAAGUUCCAGCAUCCUUACCAGACGUUCAGGUUCCUUCACUUCAUAGCAUCCUUCAUAUCCUCGAAGCAUGGAAAAUCCAUAUCAAAUCUCGUUUUUGUCGUACACCAGACAGUCCAACCAAAUGUGCUUCUCGUCUUCAUUAUGGCUAUCAGUGCCACAGCAGGGGCAUACUCGCUCCUCCCUAGGUCUAUAACACAGUGGCGCCUCUCGUGCAGCUCUCACUUAGUUCGGUUUGCAGUCUUCUGCGCCGCUGUGUUGCCUAGCCAGGGGCUGGGAGAUCGUCCCGGUUGGUGUGAGUGAGGGAUCGAGGCGCGCGCGGAGGAACAGACGGACGUAGAGGCGCGCGCCUGCCCCUGUGCUGUGUUUCGGCAGGGCCCCCGGUGCUCAUCCUUUCUCGGGCGAGCCACCCACAGUGUAACACCCCAUCAACACAGUCCCUUGCAUGCUCCGUUCACCACCAAUGCCCGACAGUAAAGCCCCAACUGCAUAAGCUUGUGAUUCACUGGAUGCAGGAUAAACGUUGUGAUAUGCGGGAGUACCUCCUUUCUGCCGCUUGCUUGGCCUCCAGACCCAUCCAAUGCGUAUACUUCACCAUGUGAAUUCCUGGCUGCUUGCAGUCUGACGGGUACAUGUCUGGUUGGACAUCUAGACAUGUACACAUCCAACCAUUAAUCAAUCGGUCCUUGAACUCCAAUACCACACCUUCUGGCAAUCGCCUGUUCAUCAGCCAUUCCACUCGUUCGUCUACUUAGUGUAGCCCUUGCGGGGCCUCUUUCCAUACGGGCCUCUUUCCAUACAUGUAAGAAGCGUUCAGCUCCCUUGGCAUCUCCCUGAGUACUCUUUGCCUGGUGUUACAUUGGUGCGAAUUGCUAGGUCGGACAGCCAUGGGGAGGUUCAUAACGGAGUUGGGCGCUGUAACCGGGUUGGACUCUUCCAACCAUGGCGCUCGGAAGAAGGAGGGAGGUUUGGAAGCGACGCGGACAAAAGCAGAGAAGAGCAGGCAGGGUAGGGGCGCGAGCGAGGAGGGGCAAUAAGUGAGGGAAGUGGGAAAGGGCUGAGGACAUGUGCACAAAGAGGAUUGACGUGUAAGAUGCUGUCGAAUCCUUCAACCUGAGCGAUGUGUGCCCAGUGCGCUCAGGGUGGGGCCCCAGCUGGUCAGCUUCAGGAGAGCCGAUGAAUUGUGUUGGCCGGAAACGGCGGCAGCGAAGACACGAUGUAAAAGAGAAACCCCGUCAUUAAGCCUCGAGUUGACGGAAUGCAAACUCAGCAAUUUGUAUGACAAAGGAUGGAUGUUCAAUUAGGACAAACGUGAUGAUUCCUGGGCGUGGCAGAGCAUAGGAAAGGGUCUAAAUCGGCGGAAACGCCGAAUGUUUUGCGCUUCGCCGUGCCUUGCUUAACCAAUUCCUUGCUAUAGGGUAGCGCCUUGAUUAGUCUUGAGACGUCUUUCUUAUGUUAGGCUAAAAUGGCGUUGCGGCCGCUUGCAUAUGAAACAUUCGGAAGAGCUUUGGGGGCCUAAAGCAGCACACAUAGUAUACUUCCACGUAAAACACAGCUCAAGCAACAUAUCAGUCCGUGUCAUGCUAUCAAAGCCCUAGUUUUGGUCAGGAAAGGCUGUACGUCACUUUGACGCAAACGCACAAUUCAUGAUUAUGCCACUUCAAACAUUUAUUUGAUGCGUUUUUAAUAAUAACUAUGAAUGUCUGCUGGGAAUGCUGGAGAGAGGGUUCAUUCCCAACAACGUCAGGCUUGCGCGUAGGCCGCAGGCCCGCGUAGCAGAGCUGCAACGCAGAACCGUGUGCAACUGCAAACAGCGGCCAAAAACAACCCCUCAACCAAUAUCUGCACCUUUUGCAACCUCGACCGAAGAUGACGGUGUCGAUGUCUUGUCCAGCUUCUUCCGCACAGCGUUCCGCACGGCUGUUGCUUUUGCCUUUAGUGUCGCUAUCUCCAUAUCUCCCGGCCCUGAGGCCUGCUGGGUAUGGCCGUCGCCGGUACCUUCGGCUCUAGCGGCUGAGGCAUACAGCGUUGCUGCUUAUGAGCGGGCUGUGGCGGGUCGGCGAGAUGGGGCCAGUGAUGGCCCCAAUCUUGCCCUCUUCACGGACGACGCACAGCAGGCCAUGGCCAGGUAGGCGGGGUGGGGUAGGGGGGUGUCGAGGGGUGUGUGUAUAGGAGGGUUUUCAGACAGGAGGAUGUUGAAGGGGUUCAGGUCGGCUGCCUGUCUGUCUUCACGACUCCCCUAAACUGCGAGUAGAAUGUGGGUGUUUUGGGUGAACGACACGGCGCGAGCCAGCCGGGGGGGAAGGGGGGGCCGGAGGCGGGGACAACGAAAGAUAACUUGGAUAUGCGCCGCGGGCCAGAGGUCAACACCGGGGGAGGGGGUUACUCCAGGGGGGAGGGGUAUAAGGCCCCUCUGUACGCGGGGGCCCGUGGCGGGGUAGGCGUACGAUGCCGUACCUGCUCGUCCCCACCUUGCACACACACACCACCGCCGCCCUGUCGCCGAUGGCUUACACUCACAACCACACACACACACACUCGCAGGCUCCGUGAGUAUGGCCGUUACGUGGAGUCCGUGUCCGCCUCCGAAACCGCGUGCGGGCCCCCCUGUACGGAGAACCGUGAGGUUCUGGAGCGGGCCUGGCAGGUGGUUGCCAGCGAGCACUACUCGGCCAAUGGGGUCUUCACUCAGGCGGGCUGGGCGGAUGAGCUUAGGAGGGUGAUGGAGGUGUGUGUGUGUGUGUGUGGCGGGGGGUGGAGGGGGAGGGGAAGGGGAGGGGAAAGAGGGGUAAGCGGACUGAGCACUGCAGGGUGGGCGUUGUGGAGGGGAGGUGGGUCCACCCCACGGGGAUAUAUGUACGGCUGGUUUUACAGAUAUGUGCACACAUACACACACAUACACACGUGCCUGUGUGUGUGUGUGGCGGGGUUUCAGGUUCUUUUUAGGGUUUUACAACUCCCCCCCGUACACAACCCCCCACUACCCUUACUAUCCCCCACUCCGUGCCCCUCUCCCCCCUCCUCCAACCACCACCCCUCCCUCCCCCUCCCCAUAAGGCCCGGGACGGGCUCCUGACCUCCAAGUCCGAGCUGCAGUCCGCCAUCAGCGACAUGCUGGGCAGUCUGAGGGACCCGUACACCGAGUACCUACCACCGGGCGCGUUUAGAAGGGCCCUACGGAGGCCACUGCCCAGGGAGCAGUCGUACCUUAAGGCGCAGUACGUCGGUGAGUGGAUACGUGUGUGUUUGGGGGAGGGGUUUCGGGUGGGCGUAUGUGGGGGAAAGGGAAUGAGGGGGAGAGGGAAAAGCAGGUAUGUGUUCGUGUUUGUGUUUGUGUGUGUGUAUAAUUGAUAUGGCCGGGGGAGAAUCGGAGACCUGCCCGGGUGGGGGCAGAUGGCGGUUGUAGGAAGGGGGGAAGGGGGGUUGCCGUCCCCCUGCCUUCCGCUGCCCCUCCCUCGGGCGCCAUGACGAUGAUCAGCUGCCCCCGAGGCCGCCCGUUUCCCCGUCCCCCCCCCCCCUGGCCCCCUUCUCGGCCCUCCGGCCUAGGGCUAGAGCUGGGCCCCGUGGCCCCGGGCGGCGGCCGCGUGGUUCUGGCCCCGCUGGCGGGCUCCCCCGCGGAGGGGGCGGGUAUUGCCCGGGGGGACAGACUUAUCAGCAUCNNNNNNNNNNNNNNNNNNNNNNNNNNNNNNNNNNNNNNNNNNNNNNNNNNGACGGGGGGGAAGGGGGAGGGGGGAAAAUGUAUGGAGCCAAGGGCGAAACACGCAGCUGCUGCUGUAAAAGGAGGGGCAGGGAGAUUACAUACAUACAUGCGAAGUCAAGGCUGCUUUCCCUCCACAACACUCCCCCACCCUCCCCUCUUCCCUCCGUUCCCCUCCCCAUCUGUAAAAAACCCUAAAACAAUAAAAUGACAACGUUAGACGGCACGCCCGUCGAUCAGUUGGUUCCGGAGCAGUUGCGGGCCCUCAUGCGGGGCCCCGCGGGGUCUACGGCAACCCUGGAGUGGGUGCCGGCGCCCACGGCCAACGCCGGGGCGGCUGCAGCCGCUGCCGCGGUCUCCUCAUCUGCCGUACCUGCCACCAAGCCCACCGCCCUUGCUCCCGCUCCGCCUCACAUCGUAAUGGAUGUGGAGCGGCGCGACCUGCCGCAGCCGGCGAUUAAGGUAGUACGACAGUUGUAUCGCAAUGGUGGUACGGCAGUAGUUUUGAUUUUGCGUCUUCCGCCAGCGAUAGGGCGAAGCACCACCGCCGCUCCCUGGGUUGGGUGGCUGCUGGUGCGACAAACCAAUUUUAAUUGUUCACCCGCUACCCCCCCUUCCCGGGGGUACACUCUUGUGCCCUGGCAGCAGCUUCACUCGUUUGUGGUUCAUCUUUCCCCCCCUCCCGACCUCUCCGAACAUCCGGCCCACCCCCUGCUGUCAUUGAGCAGGUCUCCAAAAUUCCGAUGGGCCCUCCGGGAUUCUAUGUGACGUACGUACGGCUGCUGUACUUUGGAUCCGAAACCACGGAGGGACUCGAGGCCGUCCUCCGGCGUCACGAGGGCAGUCCAGGGAAUGUGGGGUACGUGCUGGACCUCCGGAACAACCCCGGUGAGNNNNNNNNNNNNNNNNNNNNNNNNNNNNNNNNNNNNNNNNNNNNNNNNNNAGGGGGGGGGGGGGGGGAAAGGGGCGAGGGGAGAGGGGGAAGGGGAGGGGGGAGGGCGAGGGGGGAAAGGACUCGGCAGCUAGUUCCUGUUUCUUUACGUAGCGACUUGGCCCGCUACGAAAUGAGCACUAGGGGUCCCAGGUAACUUAGGGUCACAUGCAGUAUCCGCACAUCACUCGUCCGUGGUUCCGGGCACUUAUGCCCCUCACCCCUCCAACAUACAUACAUACAUACAUACAUACAUACAUACAUACAUACAUACAUACAUACAUGCCCAUCCCCAUCCCCAUCCCCAUCCCCACGAAGGCGGUGUCUUCGAGGAGGCGAUUGCCAGUGCCAGCAUGUUCCUGAGGCGAGGUGACGUCAUCGCCAAGACCAUCCGGGGCCCAGAGGGGGUGGUGGAUACGGUGUGGCAGGUGCGCACGCGUGUGUGUAUGGGUACGCGCGUGUGUGUGUGUAUGGGUACGCGCGUGUGUGUGUGUAUGGGUGAGGCUGUGUGGGAAGGGGAGAGGGGGAAGGGGGACUUGGAGCUCCAAGGGAGAUGUCGAGGGGGAAAGAUUGGCAUUUAAGAGCGUGCGGUGGCCGGGCAGGGGGAAUCGUUUUGGGGGCCUUAUGCCCUCUCCCGUCCCCCGUCCCCCGGCGUGAUUCCCCCCCUGGUGGUGUCCAUCCCCCCUCCCUUCCCCCGUCCCCGUCCUGGCCAUCUGUUCCGUACCCUCCUCGGGCCCCCCUCGGCCCCAACGUGGUUGCAGGUGUUUUCAUUCGUACAUUCUCCAACGGGCAUCACGUCCUGGACCGCCGUCCCUAGGACCUGUACUGCACUGUACUGCACGUACUUGUGACUCCCAAGGCCUCAAUCACACAAUCACAAUCGCAUACACAAUCANNNNNNNNNNNNNNNNNNNNNNNNNNNNNNNNNNNNNNNNNNNNNNNNNNNNNNNNNNNNNNNNNNNNNNNNNNNNNNNNNNNNNNNNNNNNNNNNNNNNNNNNNNNNNNNNNNNNNNNNNNNNNNCACGACACGGACCCGGACCCGGACGCACCGCACGCAGGCUGGAAGUCUCCCCGAGGAGGUGUUUCCCCAACCACCGGGUCGGUUGGCGGUUAAACCUGUCGUACUAUUGGUGAACCGGAGCACUGCCAGUGCGUCCGAGGUAGGUGGGGCCCCUGGGGGGGGAGGGGGGGAGGGGGGGGGGAGGGGGGGGGAGGGGGGGAACCUCUACUGGCAGGAGCGAGGUAAACAAGCUUCUGAUAUACUUGCAUUAUUGGGAUAGUGCAUGUGAGAGGAGAUAUCAACUGAUUUUUUGCCCAACAAAGUGACAUUUAUAUCCUAAAUUAGCAUUUUUUAUCGAGAAUAUUUCGAAGGUCAAUAAUAUUCGGGGGAUUUAACUUUGGCAGGAGUUUUGCAUAAUCAAGGGGGAACGGAGAGGAGGGGAAAGGGAGGGGGAAGAGGAGCGAUUGCAACUGUCCUGUCCGCAGUUACCUACCCCCAACCCCAACACAUACAGACGCACUUCCGUAACCCUACCCACCCCACCCCUACUCCACCCCAUCUUUUCCACACACCCCAUGCGCACCCCUAGGUGUUUGCGGGGGCUCUUCACGACAACGGUCGGGGGGCUCUGCUCGGGGAGAGGACGUUCGGGAAGGGGCUGGUGCAGGUGCGUGCGUGUGUGUGUGUAUGGUGACGGAGUGACGGGAGGUAAGGGACACACACCCCAGGUUGGGGGAUAUCAGGCGAGGGGUGCAAGAGGUCCGAAGUCUCCCCACCCGCCCCACAACACCCCAACAACGGCGGUAUCCGUAUGACACCCCCCCGGGGGGACCCCUCCACUCAUCACCCCCUUUUCCCCUCCCCUCCCCUUUCCCCCCAUACACAUACACAUACACACCACACGCCUGGACGCGCCCCUCAGUACUACUUCCCGCUGCGGGAGGGAAAGGACGGCGGAGUACGGGUGACAGUUGCAAAGUGAGUUGUGCCGUAUGUCGUACGUUCCCUCAUCAUACAGGGAGGGAGAGACGAUCGGAGGGGACAGCGGGUGGGGGGUGUGGGCGGGGAGAGGAGGAGGGCGGGGAAGUUAAAACGCUUGAAGGUCUUGAAGCACUUGAAGGUUCCAUUUAUUGGCUCUGAAGGAACUGGAGAUUUAGGGUUCUACAAUCNNNNNNNNNNNNNNNNNNNNNNNNNNNNNNNNNNNNNNNNNNNNNNNNNNGGGGGGGGGGGAGGGGAGGGGAGGGGAGAAGGGGGGAAGGGGUAGGUGGCGGUUGGAGCUCCGGUACUUGCCUGCGUGACAGACACUCUCCGGCUCUCGCUCUGGUCGCCAUGAGCACUGCGUCUCGUCCAAUCUCGUCCAAUCUCGUCCAAUCUCGUUCCUGGGCAGGUACCUGACUCCUUCCGGGUACGACAUCAGCGGCCGGGGCUGGGGGCUGGCUCCUGACCGAGUGUGCACCGACUUCCCCCGAGGUGAGGUUGGGGGGGCCGGGGGGUUGGGGAGUCUCGUGUAGCCCGUGUGCGUGUGUGUAUUUGUUACAUAUCGAUCCGGGCCUGACGCUGGCCAGGGACACCUAACAGUAUACCCCAACGGGAAUGAGCGACCGCUGAAGCACUCUCCCUCGGCGGGGGGAGGAGAGGGGCGUGAGGGGCCACACUCCCCUCCUGCCCGACCGAGGGCGUGCAACGCCCCCCCCCGCGUUUCCCCCUCUUGUCAAGAGGAAAGAGAGCGCGGUGGCUACGAGGGCCCUCAAACAACCAACCUCAGCAACCGUGGCUGCGCCCCCCGAAGGGUCCUUCCACAACACCCGGGCGCCCCCCUCCUCCCCCCCGUGAUGAGGGGCCGCCCUGCCGGCGGUGGUGCCGUGAGCCCGGAAGCCGAACCCUACAACCAAAACUGACCACCCUACGUCCCUCCUCAACGAACUACCGGGCAAAAUCCAAGCCACGCAAAGUUGUAUCAGGCCCUGUGUGCGCGUGUGUGUGUGUGUGCUCAUGUCGAUGACGGCCAGCGUUCCGGGGAAUGGGGGGCGAAUUAUGAAUCCAGGAGCUCCCAAGACCUCCAGGCCGGGUUGGCGGGAAAGAGAAGUUCCCCCCCGAUUCCCCACCGGGGGAAACACACUUGUGCACGGACGGGGCGGGAGGGAGGGGGCUCCAGCAGCACGGGGAGGCUCAAGGUGGACUCACCUGUGUUUCUCACCUGACCUCCUCCCCCCCCCCUGCGCUCCUCGGGGGCCUUCAGGGCUCGGGGUUGGCCAGGUGGGGCCCUCCCUCACUUCCCCGCAACCAACCAACCCCUCAACCAACCAACCCCCUCAACCAACCCCCACAACCAACUCCCUCAACCAACCCCCUCAACCAACCCCCUCAACCAACCCUCUCAACCAACCCCCUCAACCAACUCCCUCAACCAACCCCCACAACCAACCCCCUCAACCAACCCCCUCAACCAACCCCCUCAACCAACCCUCUCAACCAACCAACCCCCACAACCAACCACCCCCCUCUGCCGCCCAGGUGAGCUGCCCACGGGGCUGCAGCACUCCGACCAGUGCAUUCGCCUGGCGGCCGCACUGUUCGCGGAGAAGUCAUGAAAGUGAGGGGCACCGAAGGGGCGAUGGGAGAAGUGUGGAGCUGCGGAUUACCUGUUACAGAAAGCAACAGCAGCAGUAACAGCAGCAGUAACAGCAAUACUGGUGGUAGUGAUAUUGGCUACAGCUGCAGCUACUGCCGCAGCUUCUGUUUUGUUCGCUGCGGUGCUAGUUGACCUAGUUGACCUAUUUUUGCCUGUGGGAAAGGGGGAGAGGGAGGGAGAGGGACAAGGCCAGCUGCGGUAUGACGGCGCUGGUGUGGUGGUGCUGGUCCGUCCCCCCCCCCCCGCCGCCUCGAGGACGCGGGAAGUCGCAUCCCUCCAUCCCGUCACCCCCGUUCAUCAGGAGGGGGGUUGGGGGUGCGGGGGAAAUGAACACACCCACAAUGCGAAGGGUCACCUCGAGCCGCGGGAGGAGAGGAGAAAACGUAAAGAGAAGAAAAAAAUAUCAAUCGUAGCGAACAGCACAACAUCGUAACAUUAGUCUUAAGUAUGGCUGGCAUUGCAUCGUCGUGGUCAUCAUCGUCGUUAUGGUCGAGUGGUUAGUGGUCGCGGCACCAGCCAGGGGGGGGAAGUGGGAGGGGGUCUGAGGGCCCCUGACGGUUAGGACGCCCCACUCCCACUGUACGGCACCACUCUGUCCUUUCCCCCUACUUGCCGUACACAGCUCUGUCCCAUCAGCCCUUUCCGCGCAUCGCUGUUGAGAUAAGGCUGUACCAGGGUACCCCUGGUGGCGGUGUACCUUUGGUGACGGUAUUUUGUUUUAGUUUUGUUGUGUGAUGUCGCCAUAACCACCACCGCCGCCAUGACCACCACCGCCGCCGGCAGUAGCAGGGGCAGGAGGACGAAAAUGGGUUUAGAGCUGUUAGAGCUGUGUGAAAGUAACGGCCGCUGUUGGGGCGGAAUUUAAAGGCGGCGGUGAUUGAGGGGAAAGGGGAGGAGGAGGAAGCAAAAGGAGGCGGCGAAGAGGAACUGCUCGUGCACGUCACGGACGUCACGUCACGGACGUCCGGGGGUUCGGAUGUGGCGAGGCUCUUCCUGAGGUCGGGAGCUCUGGAGGGAGGUGUGCGGAGGAACUGAAGGCGGCCUGCGGACUUGAAGGGCAGCGAGCAGAGCAGGGCGCGCGCUUUUGCAGGGGGGGGGGGACGCGCCCCAAGCGCCCGGAUUGGCAGGUAAGGGCGGAAACACGGCCCAUCUUUGUCGUGUUGUACAUUUGUACGGCGGCCACGUCAGCAGUAUACUUUGCUGUGUGGGGGUUGGAGGCGCGCGCGGGAGGUGCGCAGCUGCCCAUGCCCGUUUGUGUAUUUGUAAAUUUUUGUAAUUUUAUCAAGUUGGGAUUACGGCGCUAUGUAGUUGGAACAGUUAAAAUCACGUAAAUUGCAUCACGGGAUUGCGCCGUACAUCGCUCUGCUGCCGGUGCUGUCUUGCUAUUGAUGUUGUUGUUGUUAUCGCCCUGUUGUAGCCGCCCGUGACGGCCCGGUAGUCAAUUUAUUUGUUUCAGAAGGAGUGGAGGAGGGGCAAAGGGUGGAGCAGAUGGUGCAGGAUUGACGUGUGGUGGGUGUACGACGUAUCUGAUCAUGUAGAUUACAUGACAUGACAGCACAGCGCGGGGGUGUUCGCCGCCCGCCAUCUGGAUCUCGUUAGCGCUCAACCAGUAGCAGUGUAGGGGCGGCACCUCUUUUGCCGUACCGUGCAUUCUGGGGGAUGUCCUCAUGGCCCCUGGGGUAUGGGCAACUACGGCGGGGAGGUGAGGAGGCGGGAGGAGAGGAUGACGACAUUGGUGUUAAUGUUGUUGAUGAUGGCGAUGAACGAAAUUUACUUCAGGAGCCUCCAGGUGUCUCCUGCAGUCUCACGCAGUGGAUGGAGAGGAUGUGAAGGAGCUCCUGACGUGUCGUCUACCAGUCGCCUCUCGGGCACCCCCCCAACAUGCACCGGGGUCGCCGCCUCCCUUUAAGGAGGAGUGGGUGGUGCUGCGGCUAGUCGGGCAGCACCGCCCAUUUCGCUCCUCUGUCUGUCUGUCUGUUUGCCUGUCUCUAUUUUUGACGAUCGUCUUGGUGGUGGUGUGGGGAUAUUACAUAUCAGCCAAGAUGCCCAUAUCACCGCCACCUCCCCACUCGGUUUGAGUUUUGGGACCGUUAGCCCCAUUCAGGGAUACUGUUAUUGGCUAUAUGUCUGUGGGCUGUAAUGAUCGACGAAAGCAUUGGCAGUUUUUAGAUGUGCUGCUCGCCCCCGUUGUAAUAUAGCCUGGUGUCCCAAUAUAUAUCGGAAGCUCGUGCAGCACACCACCACCACCACCAGACACGGCGCGAAACAAUCCGGUCCUCCAGCUGCCUUCCCGACAUCUUCUCAUCUUCGCAGGAUCUUCACCACGUAGCCGCUCGUCCCGCAACCGUUCAGCAUUUACAGCUCAUCAUGCUGCCACCGCACAUGUUUGCGCUUGAUCCACAUGCUUCCACCCCCAAGCGCAGGAAGACCAGGAAGACCAGCGCGCCACCUUGAUGAAGCAGUAAGGUAGCUAGCUAUACACACACAACCCCUCGGCGGUCUUGCAACAACUAAAUGCUAAUCAAGGUGUUGCUUAAGCUUUGAAGAACCCUCCCGCGGCGCACCUUCUCGACUCGGUGACAGAGUGAUGCAGUGCUUGUAUUGAUAUGGAAGACUAGCGUGAAGCAAAACGUAUCGGAGCAAUGAAAUCAUUCCACCCAUCAUCAUUCCCGUCGUUGUCAUUGUCAUGAGCAGCAGUAAGGAACGCAGCGCGGCUCCUCACCAACCUCACAGGACCGCAGCAGCAGUCCUCUCCACGGCUCUCAAACCCCACACAAACCUACCUACACAUCCCCCAUCCCCAUCAUCCGCCCCAGCUCCCGUUUCCAUGUCAUCCUUUUCCGCUCCAAUCCCCGCCACCACACACAGGCUCCUCGUACGAUCCCGCCGCCGCCUCUUGCCGGCCCCCCCCGGGCAGUUAGCUCCUCCACGCCUCGGGUGGUUAACUGCUCCCCCCCAACACACAUACACUUGUCACAGCGACAAGCACCUUUCGCCCCAGGUCUCGAACCCUCCAAGCUCUAGUACUCUAUCGCUGCGGUCGAAGCUGUCAGCCGUCCACAAAUGAUGGCAAUUCACUUCAAUGCACCCCCCAUCCAUUUCACACAUGCCAUGACACACAUGCCACCCCUCACUGCGCCAACGAAUGAUUAACGGAAGCGAAGCGGUUGAAGGUAACGGAGGAAACACGGAGGGAGGAAGGAAGUCCUCACCUCCUUCCUUCCGCCGUAUCAUGUCGGUCAUGUCGCCCACCCCCGCGUGUUGUGUCCUACGCUCCUGCGCCCACCCCGCCUACCCGACCUGCACCGGUUUCUUCUUUUCGAGAAUAACAAGACACCCCCACCAGGAGGAACCCCAGUCCUUCCUCCCGUCGUGCUGCGCUGCACCGCGUGUGAAUCCCUUCAGGUCCCACAACAGACACAACAUGCACCAGAACACACAAACACAAAACCACAAAGAACAACCUGGGUUGCCUCAGGUUGGAUGAGACGACCUCGCCGAUAGACCGAGACCGGGCUCAAGAGCCGUCACACAUCGACGGCUGCGUGACAGAGCCGCUCAACACAUGUAGUGUUAUGCCUAUUACAACAACGAGGUCCAGAACGCAAAAGGAAUGAACGUCGAGCAUAUCCCCUCGCCGUGACCCCCCAGGGGCAAAAGCCCUGAGCCAACACGCCGCUCCUUGCUUCCCACCCUCCGGCCCUCGGAGCCACCCCAGUACAGUACAACAGUGCUCAAACUUACGCAAAAAAUGCUCUUCUUAGCUAAAACUAGCGAAAAUCGUACCCAGUAACACCAAGCAUUUGCAGGAGCUUACGAGACCCUGGACCCGCUGCGAGUGCCCAGCUCUUCCCCACCCCUAUUGCCGGGCCUCUCCUCCUUCCGCCGCUGCGGGCCACCCGGCAAAUAAGUGACUGGUAAACUGGGAACGACAGCGGUUCCGGCCGCCGCCGACCGAAAGCAAGCGUGAGCCGCAGCUUCUCCACACGACAUCAGUGCGCGUCGUCCACGCGUGCCCAUCAAAAAAGUAGCAGGCACAUAAUGACGAAGGAGCCCAACAUUAACAGGAGCCGCGAAAGAAAUGCCUGAAAGCAGCAGGAAUAUCGCAGCCUCGUGUAGCCCAGCUGAAAGGCCUGGCCAAAGGCAAGAUACACAUACAAAAUCGCACCUGAUGUUGCUGCUCUGGCGUGAGCGCCUCGUUGUACCCUUGGCCGGGUCCCAAGUGAAAGCCAAAAAGCGAAGGAAAAACUCCCUGUUGUGUCUGCCCGGGGCUGGCCGCCUGCGAUAAACGGGGCGAAUACGACCUGACCGAGCUGAAGGCGCGCGAAACAGCCAAAUACGAACACCAGUCCUCGAUGAUGCAUACCGGCACUGGAACAGGACGCUGCCCAGCUGGCCGUGGCGGCACAGGCUUGACCGCCUCCUGCACCUUGCUCGCCGGCUCGGAACCUCGCCCGUAUAUUGGCACCACCUUAUCGAUUUCCACUCCCGCUUUGCAAACUGGGCACGCCCUGCUGCACGCCUGUACUUGCAUCCACCUAUUCACCAAGAAGCUUGGAUCAACGGCCAAGUCACACACAUUUCCACCCUUCAACCGAUAACCGCACCUGUACAGACACGGCCAGCAGAAAAGGUGCCCGCAAAGAGUUACCACAGGCUCUUUUGCUAGCUCCAGGCAAAUAUUGCACUCGAAGGCUGAGCUGUCCCCUUCAGAAUGGUCAUCCGUGGUCACGGCUUGGGCACAAGCUGGUUUGCUCAGGUUAUCCUCCGCAACAGUUCCCACAGCCUCAUCCUGUGAGGCUUGUGGCGCAGCUGCCUGCGGCUGUUCUUGGGGAGCCAGCACAGCGCUAUCGGCAGCGCUUGCCAUGCCGCUAUAUUUUUUCAAAUACCGUCUACACUUGGAUGAAAAGCAAAAUAAUGCAAGCCCUCAGGGCUCAGGGGUAAGCUCUUAGAAGGUUUCUGCAAACCUAAUCUGCAAGGCGAGACGCUUAACAGUCUGUCCUGAUAUUUGUAGGUUCAAAGCGCAAAAAGCUAUUCACGGAUUAUGCUCAUAACGCUUAACCUUGGCUAGGACUGCGGACAGGUAAAACCUUUUGGGGCGCUCAUUCCGUCGUACUGAUGAUGCACAAGACGCUGAUGCCUGAACCUAGGUAGGGUCCUUUUCAUUAUUUACAUUCCGUUACCGCGCAAAACUGCAGCUGCAAAUGGCAAAUAAACCCCAAAGGGCAUCCGUACUGUACUUCAUAGCGGUAACCGCAUUCAAAGUAAAGUUCCUGAUGCAAGCACGUCAACCUUUCCUCACCUGCAUACACUCAAGAAACGCUGGACCCCUAUACGACGUGCAAGGUCUCCAAGCGACCGCCCCAAAUCGUCACGUGCCUCCAGGCAGUACAAAACAUGCCAGAACCACAUUUCGGUUCUGGAGCAGCUCCACGCACCCCUGCCCCGACCAACGCAAUCCAAACACCCGAUCAACCACACGCGCUAGCCUGGCCUCCCGCCCCUCGCCCUCCUGCCACCCCGUACCCCACUGCUGCUGCUGCUGCUGCGGUUGCUGCGGUUGCUGCGGUUGCUCACGCCAUGCCCCCCCACUCUCCCGCAUCCCCCCUCCACUUCCACUCCUCCUCCUCCUCGUCCCUGUCACGGACCCAUUCCGCUCUACCGCCAUUGCGCCUCCCUCUCCCCCUCUCCACCCGCCUCUAACCCCCUCCUCCUCCCCUCCUACGGAGCCACUACACCCACCCACACCCAUCUCGCUCUCCACCGCCACCGCCUCCACCGUCACCGUCACCGCCGCUGUACCACCCGCACCUGCACCUGCACCCGCAUCCAACCUGCCUCGCCCCGACAGUCCCGCUACGCCUGCGCCUUGCUGCCGCUCCCCCUUCUCCCCCUUCUCUCGCGGCUGUAGCGGCUGUUGCUGUGCCAGCAGCCCUGGCAGUAGCCAGCAGUGGCAGGGCUGUACGACCAAGGCGGGUCUCGGCGCGCCAUGCAGCAUCAUAAGGGCCUUAUGCGACCACGGCACGGUCAGUGCAAAGACCAGCAGCGCAGGGGACGGAGCGCCGUCCAGCAGCAGCGCGGCCAGUCGGUUCCCCUGCGGUGUGGUGGGGUGUGGUAUGGUGUGGUGUGGUGUGCUCAUUCAUGUCGGGACGGGAGCAACAGUGCAACGCUGAAGGGAUAACGGUACAACGGUACAACGGUAUGAUGACUCCGUUAGAUUGGACGCGGGAGCAAACAUCCAGGCCGCAGUCUCCCCCCAUAUCACCCACAUCACCCCGGCCGCCCCCCACCCACCCCGCAGCCACCGCCAGCCAACGUGAAUACCAACGGAACCACCACCACCACCCCCGCCUUCCCCACCACCGCCAUCUCCCCCCACCUCCACCCCAACCCAUUGCCCAACUUAUUCCGUACAACCCCAAAGAAGCCCAAGGGCGUAAUACCCCCCCAAACCCGCCAAGUCCCAACACACACACACACAUACGUACAUACACACAUACGUACAUACAAUAGCAAAUUACGGGAGAGCCUCCCCCACCGCCACCCACCUGCGGACUGAACUGCAGCGCCGCCACCCCCGACUGGGACAAGCCCCGGAGCAGACACGGCAGCUGCUGCUGCUGCUGCUGGGGUCCGGAGGGCCGAGCGGGAGGGUGAAGGGGAAGGGGAGGGGGAGGGGAGGACGCCGCAGUAGUAGCAGUAGCAGUAGUGGCAGUAGUAGCAGUAGCAGUAGCAGUAGCCGCCAGAGCGGCUGACGAGGACAGCGAUGACGAAGACGGCCAGGGCCCCAUGGCGCCUAGAGGCCGCCAGGAUGAGGACGAGGUAAGGGAGCAAGUGGAGGACGCGGCGGACCUCAAGGCAGCGGCGGAAGGGCCGAAGCCGCCACUGCCACCGCCACCGCCGCUGCCGUCAGCACCAGCACCAGCACCACAGCCAUUGCUGGCGCCGCUGGCGGCUGCGGACGCAACCGCAGUCGCUGACCCCAAUUGUGGUGGUGUCGUACAUAGCGGUGCCAUGUCCCCCCCCCAGGUCGGCGGCGAUGGCGGAGCCGCCGGGGGGGAAAGCAGCAGCGCGUCAGGUCCAGGCUGCAGAGGCAGCUGCCACGUGGCGUUGCCGUACUCCAGGUCGUACACAGUGAUGAACUGGGGCUCGCCCGAGGGUGAGUUGGCGGCCAGGGGCGGAGCCACCGCGAGCUGUGCGUGUACGGGGGAGGGGAUGUGUUGACGGUCCCGGUGAUCAGCGGAGGGGAGGGGGCAUUGCGAAUACGGAUGUCGCUGAGGCGGCCGGGGGGAAGUGGCGGGUGACCAAUAGUGGCCUGGGACCUGCAGCGGUCUCCCGGCCAUCUCCCGGCGACACGGCCCGCUAAGUAAAGAAACAGGAACUAGCUGCCGAGUCCAAAGGCGAAACAGCGAAAUGACCACCUAGACGCCGAGAUCACAAGAGUAAAAAAGCGAAAAAGCAAAGGAGCCCGUAGCAGUAGUGGUAGUACCAGUAGCAAAAGGUCAGGCGGCCAAAGGCGGAGAAGAGCAAAGGCUAACGAAAGGUGUACGCCGACCUAGCGGCGGAAGUAAUGAACGAUAUUAUUUUGCACCACUUAUCUGCUGCUGGCAAGCUGCUCGCUGACAUGCAUGCAUGUGUUCCUCCCAGCCCCCCCCCCCCUCCAGAUAACACGGCCCUGGCCCGACCAACCCGACCAACUCGACUCGGCCAACCCGACCAACGGCACCCUUCCCCCGGUGCGAAGGGGACGGGAGGAGGGAGCACAACACCGCGAGAGGGGAGGGGAGGGAAGGGGUUGGAACUAAUUACCAGCUGCCUCUCCCACCCACUCGACCAUCCGCGGCUCCAACAGAGGCCACACUACUCGCUCCCGAUUCAUGUACGUACAUACAUACACACUCUCUAGCGGAGGACGGGAAGAUCGGGAGGAGGGGGGAAGGUGCCACAAACACCGCCCCUGCGGCGUACGACAACGUUACCCAAAGGCCAACAAACCAAAGCAGAAUCCUCCUCCCGGAGCUUAAUCCCGCUUCCACCCUUCGCUCCCCACCACAUGCAUACACACACACACACACACACACACACACGAACACGCACACACCUGCAUGCUAGCGGCGUGAAGCGCCGUACACGGCAACACGGCCGCCAGGUCCGCCGCCAGCAGGUAGGCGGGUCCCGUCAGGUCAGGCCGUCCUCGUGCCGCCGGCGCCGCCAGCGCCCUGGCCAGCCCCGCCCCCAGCGCGGGAGCUGCGGCCGCCAGCGCGCACCUCCCCGGCCGGGAGCGGGUGAGGCGGGAGAGGGCAGCGCCCACCAGCGGGUGCAGGGGCAGGGCCUCGGCUGCUGGACGGAAGGGGGGUGACGUGUGAGGGUGGGGUGUGAGGGUGGCACGGUAGGUCCACAUGAGGGUGGUACGACAAAUGGGCGAAGUGGGGGCCCGUGUGCUGCAAUCCGCAGCGAAGCUGAGGGCUGGUUGUGGUGGUGGUGGUGGUGGUGCAGGGCAGGAUGCCGCAGACCGAGUUACGGCACGAGUGCGGCGCCGUACACGGAAGGGAGACGUGCGCGCCCUCUCCCCCCCCCACCUCUCAAUUCUCCCCCCUAAAGCCGCCUCUCCUCUGUGUUUCGUGACCUGACCAACACCCCCAACAACGGAGGAUGUUGUGCAAGUGCCUUGGCCAAACCACCUCGCACCGCCUUCCAUGCUUCCCUCCCCUCCCCACCCUCUGAUGGCCACCCUGUUGUUACCCCACCCCCUCCUUCUUCCCCCCACCCCACCCCCCUUUCCCCCCUUUCCCCCAACCUCCGCACCUCCAGGGAAUCUGGACAGCCCCUGGAGCAACCCCUCCAUGUCCAAUGUAGCCACCGCCGCUAGGAGCCGUACAGUCUGGUCCGCCAAACGCUGUGCAGCCCGCUGCGGAGCGGCGGCGGCGGCGGCGGCGGCAACGGAGGGCUGCGACGACAGCCACGGCAGCGGCGGCGGCGGCGGCGUUUGGUGAGAGGCUGUGUGAUGGUGGUGGUGAUGCUGGUGGUGGUGGUGGUGGUGAUGUGAAUAAAGCGGAGGAAAACCGUGGCGGCCGCACGGCAUGGUGGUGGCGACGUCGACGUCGUACGACGUGGAAGUGCCGUACGAUGACGGAUCCAUGGCACCUGGCGGCGGAAGCGGAAUCACCUGGAUAAGGUGCAAUAGCCUGCGCGGACAUACAUACAUACACACACGGAAACUGAUGUCAGGGUUGUUGUUACAAUAUUCAUCGGACCGAUGCCAACCCGUAAGACACGGUACACUAGAUUUAUGGCAGGUGGCUGGCAGAGGUUAAGGCCUGACUUCUGCUCCCGGAGAUCCUGAGUUCAAAUCCGCCUGCCGACUCCUCGGUGUGUGAGGGGUGAUGAAAUGGGAGGUGGCCCCCCAUCUAGAGGACGGUGUAGGACGUGAUAAAAUCAACUUGCGAGCUGACCAGGAAGUAAGUUGAGGCGCCGUUGAUCCGCUAGAUUUGGUUGGAUGCUGGUGGUGAGUUGCCGAACCCAACGAAUACACUCUCAAGUCGGAUGGCGUAAAUGGAUUAGGGUGCCCCUCUCGCACGGGAGAGCAGGGAACUGCCUCCAAGGGAAAGGGGGCCGCUGGUGAAGCUCCUGUACCACCCUGUAACGACAUACAUACACACCCAGGAGAGGGCCUUCCUUGCCUUCCGAGCAGCGGCAGGAGACGUACUGAGCGCGAUGGUGGGGGCAUUAGGUCGGGCAUGAUUCCUGAACAACAACUCUUCUCCUGUCCUCCUCCUCCGCUCGCGAUGCCACCCUCACACACAGACACACAGACAGACACACAGACACACAGACAGACACACAGACACACAGACAGACACACAGACACACAGACACACAGACACACAGACAGACACACAGACAGACAGACACAGACAGACCGCACCCCCCACACACACCUUUCCACGAAACUACCCCAUGGCUGUAGCUGCUGCCGCCACAGCACCGCCCGAGGGCCCGACAGCGCCGCCGUCAGCAUCGCCGCCGCCACCUCCGGCAGUAGCACACGGCCAUCGGCUGUCCACAGCCCACCGCGCUCUGGCGGUGGCUGUAGCGGCGGCGGCGACGAUGGCGGAACAUGUGGCAACUCAAGGUAUCCGCCGGCCUGUACGGCAGUCGGCGACUUCACCGCGGCGGCGGCAGCGCCACCGCCAGCCGCUGCCUUGGAAAGCGGCGUCAGCGGUAGGCACAGCAGCUCUACAAGAGAAGUAGCGGCGGCAGCGAGCAGCUGUUGCGGUACAGCAUCAGCGUGCGCGAGGCACGCAGCGGCGGCAAUCACGGCGGCCGGGUACAGGCGCUGGGCUGGUGGCGGAGGCGGUGGCGGAGGCGGCAGAGGCGCCGUACCAGAUGGCCGCCGGUGGCGGAGCAUGUGGAGCUGCGGUGCUCCGGAACCGGCGGUGGCGGUGGCUGGUGGUGCUUCCCACGGAGCCGAGGCGGCUGUAGCAGCAGCACCAGCUCUAAGCUGCAGCACCGCGGUUGCUUGACAGGGCAAUAGCAAUGACAAUGUCGGUGGCAAUGACGAUGAUGACGGAGACGCGGGGUACGUGUCCGCCGUCGACGCCACCGCUGGCGUGUGUACGACGACGGGCUUAGUAUACGCGGCGAGCAGCCGCUGCGCCGCUUCCCUGAGCCAUCCCUGGCCCCCCCUGGACAACCACUGCCGGGCGAAUACCGCCAGGUCGGGGUCGGGGUGCAGAAGGGCGUGUCGUAGAGGACGUCGAGGUGCUCGGGAGGGCCCCGCCGCCGCC